GGCAUCCUUGUCCUCGCGGUGGCGGCCGGCCACAGGCUCUCCCCUCCCCCACCGGGCUGGGAACCCUUUCAUGGGACCGGGCCGCGCCUGUCCCGCCGCCCGCGGCCCCCUUGUCUCCCAAAGGAAUGAGAAACACCAGAGAUCAGCAUCAGAAAAUGGAUGAUACACUUGUGGAACAGUAAAGAUGGACAUCCAGUUAGGAAGGUCAUUCUGCCGUCUUCUCUCAGAGCUGAAAAGAAGCUUCAGCAUUCGAGUCCAGCAGAAAAUUCUGCUCAAGCAUGUACAGUUCUUCAAAUCUACUCUUAACUCCUGUCAUCCAUCGCCAAAAUGGAAGUAAGGUACAUAUUUUCUAUUGCAGUAUCUAACUUCUGCCUCUCAAUGUGAAAGAUAUUUAUUGUCACAUUAUCUUAAAUUUGAGAUGUUGGGCAACCUGUCUUUUCAUUUGAGUGUAAGUUAAUAUUCUCAAAAAACAUAUCUCGGCUUAUGUAUCACAUGACAGACCCAUCAAAAAUCUGUAUAAAUUAGCUGAGUUCAAAACCCAUGUAGAGAACCUAACUGAAGCACAGUGAACAUCCUUUCACCCUCAUAAAACAGUGGGUUGUGUAGGCUAGUGUGCCCUCAAAAGUUCAUUAUUCUGUAAAAGUUUGGGGGUUUUUUACUGUCUCUGCAGAUUUAAGCAUUAUUUAUUAUUUCAGUACUUUGUUCUGGUACUCUGUUGCUUUUUUGUGAUCAUACAAAUAAAGAAAGUCUGAAGUAGCUGGAAGACUCCAGUUUGUCUUCAUUCUGUGCUGCUGGUGAAGGCUAUAACAUUCACAUGCCUCGUAGGAAAAUAUA